CAUUAUGGUUCACAGUACUCAGGACAGGGGACCGACCCACCUGUCCGCCAUGCACGACUUGAUGAAAAGUCUGACAUAUUUACAAACGCAAUGGAAGAUGAGCUAUAUUGUACUUUUCAGUACGGAGCAUCGAACCCAGGACCUUGUGUUUGCCAGCCAGGUGCAACGCCACUGAGAUACAUCCCCAGCCCAUGAGGAUAUGUUUCUGGACACUCACUCCAGCGGCGUAAAGAAGAUGGACAUCAAAUAACACAAAGAGAGCAGGACUCUAGUGAUUACAUCUUUCAUCAAGAUGGAGCAACAGAGACCAGAUUCAAUACUGCUCCUGAAACAGCCAGAAAUUCUACAAUAUCUAUGAAAUACCCGCUUUGAAAACACUGGUUAUCAGGAAAUGAAGGACAGUGUUUGUGGAAAAGUAGAGCAACAAUGAGGUAAAACCAUCCUGCUUGUAGAAGAACAAAAUGGAUAAUCAUGCUCUUGAGGUAAAGAAAACAAAAAUUUUUUCAACAUUACACCAAAACUUUAUCGAUAAAGAAAAGUGGAUGCAUAUUAAUAAUGCUAAUAAGUAA